rnacentral:rRNA from 1 species
GUCUGCAGCCAUGCCACCCUGAAUGUGCCUGAUCUCGUCUGAUCUUGGAAGCUAAGCAGGGUUGGGUCUGGUUAGUACUUGGAUGGGAGACCACCUUAGGAAUACCAAGUGCUGUAGGCG